GUCUAGGCUGGCAAAUCCAGAGAGGAGGGCGGGGGGGUAGCUAGAAAAGUAAGAAAGGUUUUUGGGGAAAAGACAGUAAGGUCCAGGAUGGAACAGACCUUGGCUGUUGAUUAAAGGGUCCCUGAACAGGAACCUGGAGUAGAGGGUGCACCUGGGUUCCCCUACUAGGCCCUGGGGAAGUAGCACAAGCCAAGUAGUGGAGAGCAGACUACCUGGGACAGUUUGCCCCAAAAGACUUUGAUACUGUAGAAGGGGAGUGACCUGGCUGCAACUCCUGGUCAGAGAGGAUAAUGGGUGGAGAGAUUACCAAAAGAGAGGACAGCACCGGGAAGAAGCUAAUCCUAAAAGCAGCUGGGAAGAGGUGUCCCUAACAGAGACCCACUAAAUCGACUGCCGAUCCAUUGGUCACCGCACCUCGAACCCUCAGGUGAUGUGCAGUGAUUCAUGAUGCUUCCCAAUGGUCUGACAUUUGGGAUCAGAGGGAUGAACUCAACGGUAUGAUGUGCCAAAUGUCAGGAACUCAACUGCCUCUGGGCUUGGUUGCUUAGUAACCCAAUGAGCUCACUAAGUGAUUGGUCAGAAGAGCCAAGAGAUCACCAUUUAAGACCUGUCGCAACAGCAGCGCUGUGGGUGCUCAAUGUUCCAUGCCUGCAGCUGUGCCAAUCUGCCUCCUGUCAAGCUCUUGCUCCCCCAUUGCCUGCUCAAUGCCAGCCUAGUUCCUGCCUACUUCUGAACUCCAGCUGUCCUCGCCACGCCUCCAGUCCUGUCCUCUCAUUUUGCACUGACUGCUAGGCCAGAUUCCUGCUCUGACCUCUAGGUCGCACCACCUACACCUAGGUGUGUGACAUCAAAUACCUGCUGUGUUGCUUCCUGUUUGCUGUCUGUGACCCAGACAGCAUCUGCCAUCUACCAGUUGGUGCCAAUAGGGGCUCCUAGGGGUUUACAGGGAUCCCUUGAGGCUGGUAUAUGCAUAAUAAUUCACCAAAGGGUGACCUGUAAAGUCUCUACCAAGAGUCAGGAACUUACUAGUCAUCAUAGUCAUUGUGCAAUGUAUGUACUGAUGACAUUUAAGAAACUGUAUCUAUAUACUGGACAUUAUGGUCUUGAAGUUUAAAAGCAGAGCCCCAGGAGGUGACAGGCCCUGGACGGAUUCUGUUCAGGCAGGGGGUAGGAGACACCUCUCUCUCCAUCUGGUCAGGUGUGUAUUGUGUGCCUCACAUUAGAAGUCUAUUUGCAGCAUAGAGCCACCAACUAAUCAAGACACUGAAAUCUCCAGAAAGGAACACACAGCAGGAGAGUGUCUGUUUUAUGAAUAAAGAUCAAAGGAUCGUUUGGAUAUAUUUGGGGUUGCAAGGAGAGAGACAGUAUCCUUCAUCAAGGAGAGGAAUUGCUAGCAUGUUCUGCCUUAUGAAAAGAGGGUCACAGCCAAUCUGGCUGAAAAACUCUGCAAAGCUAAAUUUUAUUAGGGAAGUAUCUUGAUUAAGUCUAGGCUGUAGAAUGCAUGCUAGGAUUUUGUUUGACAACUAAUUAUUUCCAAUAUUUCUCCUUUCUAUCAUUUUGAAUCUCUACCCUCUUGUUAAAUAAACUUUACU